UUUGCAAGUGAUGAUAAAAGAGAUGGGGACAUGGAAAUCCUUUCUGAGAAAAAAUGAAUGUUGAUUCGUCUUUGGAAUCUCUGUGAUGCAUA